rnacentral:rRNA from 1 species
AUACGUAGGGGGCGAGCGUUGUCCGGAAUGAUUGGGCGUAAAGGGCGCGUAGGCGGCCCGGUAAGUCUGGAGUGAAAGUCCUGUUUUUAAGAUGGGAAUUGCUUUGGAUACUGUCGGGCUUGAGUGCAGGAGAGGUAAGUGGAAUUCCCAGUGUAGCGGUGAAAUGCGUAGAGAUUGGGAGGAACACCAGUGGCGAAGGCGACUUACUGGACUGUAACUGACGCUGAGGCGCGAAAGUGUGGGGAGCAAACAGGAUUAGAUACCCUGGUAGUCCACACUGUAAACGAUGAAUGCUAGGUGUAGGGGGUGUCGACCCCUUCUGUGCCGCAGUCAACACAAUAAGCAGUCCGCCUGGGGAGUACGGCCGCAAGGUUGAAACUCAAAUGAAUUGACGGGG